ensembl:lncRNA
UAGCUGGCUAUGCAAAACUUGUGGGUCUCGAGUCUUCACUGAUCUUCACUCAAGAGAGGCACAGCUGAGAACUUCUCCUGCUGUCCCUCUUGGUCCCUCCUGCCAAGGCCUGCCUAUCCCUGCUAGGUCAUGCCACCACUUCUGAUUUAUGUUUGCUAUUCUGGCUCUAACCAAACUGGACUGCUAGUAUAUCCGUAAAGUGUUUGCGAGUGGAUUGAGCAGCCGCUGCUAAUCUGUGAACUGAACUGCUGAUUUCCAGACAACAGAGAUGGGACUUGCUCCAAAGAACCUAGGUCAGCAGCUUCUGUCCAUUGGUUGGGUAUAAAUGUCUGCAUCCAACUCUUUCAGCUGCUCAUUGGAUCUUUUGGAGGUUUGGGAAUGUGCAUGAACAUGUAUGAGAGUGCAGGUAUACACAUGCCUCAGCAUGGAGAUCAGAGGACAACCUCAGGAGCCAGUCCUUGCUACUUAACUGCCACGUUUUUUUUCAAACACUUCUCUUCAUGUUCACUGCUGAGUGUGCCAGACUAGCUUAGCCACAAGAAUCCAUGGAUUCUCCCAUCUGUUUCUCCUACCCCACUAUAGAAACUAGGAUUAAAGACUCGGGCUACUACAUAGGCUUUUAACCUGACUCUAGGGAUUGGAAUCCAGAUCCUUACGCAUGAAGCACUGUAGUGGGAAUUUUGUUUACUUUAAAAACCCAAUUAUGUUAUGUAUGUUUUCUUUGCUUUAAUGCAAGGUCUGGGAUGUGGGUUUUCUUCAGUUUGUUCGCAGCCAUUAACUAUGAUUGUCUAGUGCUCUCAGAGGGGCAUAAUUUUUGUCAGCUGCAAAUAGUUUAAUUCUGGGGACAAUGGAGAAGGAAUUGAUGCCAUAAACUGGAAAGGAUCAGUAGAUGCUCAGAAGAAGAGGAGGAGGAGGAAGAAAAAGAAAUCCAGCCCUACAAAGGAUAAUAGAUGGAAAACUCCAACACAAGGAGGGAAACAACACCCUAGAAUAAGCAAGAAAGUAAUCUCCAGCCAUUUGCCUACGAAUUUCAUAAAGUCGUUGUUUUUGAUAGCUGAGUAAUAUUCCAUUGUGUAGAUGUACCACAUUUUCUGUAUCCAUUCCUCUGUUGAAGGGCAUCUGGGUUCUUUCCAGCUUCUGGCUAUUAUAAAUAAGGCUGCA